rnacentral:ncRNA from 1 species
GCCUGGGGGGGUACACCUGUCAGAGCCUAACGUGGGGUCCGAAGGCGAGCUCGGGAAGGGCAGAGACCUCCCGUAGAGCAGAAGGGCAAAAGGUCUCUUCAUCCUGAUUUUCGGUAUGUAUACAGACUGUGAAAAUGC